UACGAACCGUGCGAACGUUGUUCGGAAUCACUGGGCUUAAAGGGCGCGUAGGCGGCUCCGAAAGUCCGGGGUGAAAGCCCCCAGCUUAACUGGGGAAGUGCCUCGGAUACUGCGGAGCUCGAGGGAGGUAGGGGCGGAUGGAACUUCCGGUGGAGCGGUGAAAUGCGUUGAUAUCGGAAGGAACGCCGGUGGCGAAAGCGAUCCGCUGGCCCUCUACUGACGCUGAGGCGCGAAAGCCAGGGGAGCAAACGGG
rnacentral:rRNA from 1 species